rnacentral:rRNA from 1 species
GGAAUAUUGGUCAAUGGGCGCAAGCCUGAACCAGCCACGCCGCGUGAGUGAUGAAGGCCUUCGGGUUGUAAAGCUCUGUGGGGAGGGAAGAAAACGGCACGUAAGCAACGACGUGUCCUUGACGGUACCUCCUUCGCAAGCACCGGCUAACUCUGUGCCAGCAGCCGCGGUAAUCCAGAGGGUGCGAACGUUGCUCGGAAUUACUGGGCGUAAAGCGCGUGUAGGCGGGACCGCAAGUCAGAUGUGAAAUCCCCGAGCUCAACUCGGGAACUGCAUCUGAAACUGCGGACCUUGAGUACUGGAGAGGGCGGCGGAAUUCCUGGUGUAGAGGUGAAAUUCGUAGAUAUCAGGAGGAACACCGGUGGCGAAGGCGGCCGCCUGGACAGUUACUGACGCUGAGGCGCGAAAGCGUGGGGAGCAAAC